AUUGAAGUAAACAUUAUAUGAGAGUUUUUAGGCUAUAAAGUGAUCAAACAAUUUUCUACUAGUUACAUGCAAAAGAGGGAAAAGUAUGACUGAAGUUCUCAAGCUUGUUUAUAUCAUGAUCAUAUUUCUUUACAUAUUUCUUGUUGUAGCUGACACUGAUCCAUUCGCUUUUUGUAUUAAAGAUUCUAAUUGUGGACAAGAUCUAUGUACAUCUCCUAAUGAAGUUCCAGAAUGUAGGUUGCUAAAGUGUCAAUGUAUUAAAUCAUAGAUUGUAGUCUACAUUUCAUGAGAAGUGAACGAUGGCACUUUGCUUGUGUGAGUAGAGUAUAAACUUCAAUUUAAUUAUUCAGUUUCGUUGGGGUUAUUGUAUUCCUUAUUAGAUAUUUGUAUUGUUAUAAUUGACUUUCAUAAGCCAAAAUGUUGUAUUAUUGUUAUUUAUUUUAUUUCGCAAACUUAUCUUUUAGAAAUGUGAAAAAAAUAAUUUGCGCCAAA